rnacentral:rRNA from 1 species
UGUUUGGAGAGUUUGAUCCUGGCUCAGGACAAACGCUGGCGGCGUGCUUAAUACAUGCAAGUCGAACGGUACUACUUCGGUAGUAUAGUGGCGGACGGGUGAGUAACACGUAGAUAACCUGCCC